rnacentral:lncRNA from 1 species
AUUAGGGGAGGCCACAGAGAAGAGACUGACACAUUCAAGGACCUGCAAAAUGGCCUGUGGGUUUAGAGAGUGGUGUGAGAAGCAGCAGGCAGAGUCUAGAUGAAAGGCUUUGGGGUCCAUAGUAAAGCAUCUGGAUUUUGUUUCAAGAGCAACGGGAAGACACCGGAGGGUGACAUGAUUUUAAUCUGUAAAGGUACGUAGUGUAGAUUGUAGGGGGAAGGGGCAAAAAUGAAAGCAGAGACAUGACAUAAGAGACAAAGUAGUCCAGGAAAGAUAACUGUAAUUUUGGGUAACAGUAUUCUAGGUGGAAAAAAUUUGACGUAUUUGGGUGUUUUGUAGAUAGAGGGAAGGACUUGCUGAUAAUGUGGGAGGAGUUGAAAGACAGAACUCAGGAAUGACUCCAGGCUUUUGGCCUGAGCAACCAAGUUUGAUGAUAGAUACUAUUUAGUGAGUUGGGAUGUAAGGAGAAUCCUAGGCUGAAUGGAUAAACAGGAAAAAAAAAAAGAUAUUUGCAUAAUUUAGUUAGCAGUACAGAUGAUCUAGCCAUCUACGAUUUUGUUAUCUGCUGGAGGGUUUUUGUUUUUGAUUUUCCUUCCAUGGCUUUUGGAGUAAGUGACACUAACUCUGACUUUAGAUCCCACUCUCUCUAUCCUGGGUAGGACUCCAUGCAGCAAAUAACAGGACACUUGUUUUCUCCUUAAAUGCCACCUAGGUCAUCUCUAGAAAGACCUAGAAGAGUGACAUCUGACUCUAUUUUUGGAAGGCCUACCUGAACACAAAACUCAGCAGGUUUCAAAUUCCACCAGAUUCAACAGCGUUGCAAAAAAUGUGCAGUUAUCCAUGGCACAACAUAGAUUCGGGAAGAAAAUAUUUGAUUGCUAAAGACUUUCUUGUCCAAACACUGGUCUCUUGGGAGAAGGACUUUGAAAAAAUUAUAUAAUGCAAUUUUCUCUGCCACAGAAAUUGACACAAGAUAAUUUAUAUGUUCCAAAGAUCUAGAUUAGUGCAUAUCAAUAUCAUUAUUUUUUCAAAGAAUUUUUUAUUUGUUCUAAUUAGUUAUACAUGACUGUAGUCAAUAUAUUAUUGCAGUAGGUCUUUUCUUUUUUCUUUUUUAAGUACUGUAGAAGUUUGAGGGAGUCAUGUUUUUGGCUUCUUGUCAGGUGUUUUGAUUGCCUAUUAAUAGAUGAAAAACCCUAACUAUGCAGAACUAGGUUCUGGAAUAAUAUCCACUGAUGUUCACCACUGGCCUGCUAGUGAGAAUCCUACAUUGGAAUGUUAAACAGUUUGCAACUAUUCUGAUUGAGUAGAAUGAUAGUGACUUGAUUCUUUUGUUUAAAAAAUACAGGUG